AAAGAGUGGUUGCAGCAAACCCAAUAUGCAUCACCAACUUGUGCUACUCAAAAUAUGAAAUGUUACUAGUAUGUAAAAAGGAACUUCGCGUCUCCAGCCUAUCUUGAUCUGCUCCUCUUACAAAAUCCGCCUUCUGUCAAUGAUGAAUAAUGAUCCGAUGAAAUUGCCAACCAUCAUGGCACCCAAAUUCACAGCCAUCAAAACACACAACCAGCCAGGGUCGCACAUUGCAUAUUGUGGAGAAAUCGUCUCUUUUAUUGACUAACAGAGUACCUCCAACACCAAGCCAGCGCAAACCACAGAAAGAAGACAUUAUCCAAUCACCAGACAGACCGCGACAUUUAUAAAGAUCAAGCUUUUGCAGUAGACUAACCUUGUGAUUUGGUCUAUCCAACAACAUCUUCACACCAGCAUCUGUCACAUGAAAGCAGUACCUUAGAGAUAAAUCAGUUAAUGCUUUAGCAGCAGAUGCAAUGGUAAAGAUAGCUGCAUCAGUUAUUCCGGGCAUGCGACUGACAUCCAACAAUGAUAA
rnacentral:misc_RNA from 1 species